GUGCUCGCUUCAGCAGCACAUAUACUAAAAUUGGAACAAUACAGAGAAGAUUAGUAUGGCCCCUGUGCAAGGAUGACAUGCAAAUUCGUGAAGCGUUCCAUAUUUUU
rnacentral:snRNA from 1 species